CACUUCUAACAAAGUUCAUUGAUGAAACACCAUGCAUGACAGCUGGAAGUCUGUCUGCUUGAUGGGCUCCAUGGUACUUUGUCUAUAAACUGUUUUAGAAGUGCGUGGAAAAUAGGGCAGGGAGAGGGGUUCUUGCAUAUGAUGAAGUCCUGAGUCUCAAUCAGUACUGGGACAUGUUAGAUCCUUUAACCAAAAUUAUUAUUUGUUGUUUGUCUUUCUGCUCAGGUUCAGAGUUCAGUCCAGCUUGCUCCUCACCUGGGAAAUAUAGCAGGCCUGAUAGUCCUACAGAAGAGUAGCAUAAGAUAAGGUUCGGGACCUGCCUAUCUUCGUGACUGCGUCGUCCCCUAUGAACCUACCCGACCGCUGAGAUCUUCUGGGGAGGCCCUUCUCUCACUUCCACCCUCCUCACAACUGCAUUUGGUGGGGACGAGAGAGAGGGCCUUCUCGGCCGUGGCUCCCCGACUCUGGAACUCCCUCCCCAGGGAGAUUAGGUUGGCUCCCUCUCUACCUUCCUUCAGGAAACAACUGAAGACUUGGAUGUUUUGGCAGGCCUUUGGAGAUACAGUCAUUAAUUAAUCAGCCCCAGAGGGUUUUAAAUAAUCUAUCCCAUUUUUAUUACGAUUUUACCAUUUAUGUGUUUUAAAUGCCAUCUUUUAUCCUGUAUUUUUGUUUUAAUUGAUAUAUUGUAUUGCUGUUUUAUCUUUUUAUAGUGUGAUUUGUAUUAUGUUGCCUAUGUUUUGUUCUAUGUUGUUUGGCCCUCUGCCCCAUGUAAGCUGCCCCGAGUCCCCGCGGGGAGAUGGUGGCAGGGUAUAAAGUUUUUAUUAUUAUUAUUAUUAUUAUUAUUAUUAUUAUUAUUAUUAUUAUUAUUAUUAUUAUUAUCCUGCCAAAUUGAAGAGAAGUUUUAGUCCCCUUUGAUAUAAUUGGGAAUUGCCAUUCCCCCAAUUUUAGAUCAAGUGGUUUAUUGGCUUUUGGCAAUGCAUGAAGGAGCUUUUUUCUAGUUGCGUUUGUAAGUGAAAUUUGUCCUAUGAAACAAGCUCUUUUAUUUCACUAAUGUAACUAUCUAAUGAAAGACAUUUCUUCUUAACAAGGUUUUCAACAUUGCUUUUGUUGGAAUGAAUGCACUAAUAUGUAGUUAUUUGUAUUUGUACUCCUUGAUACUGAUUUUAACCAGGCCAUUACAUUUUAUUGAUGGAUCAUGAUUAUUUUAUUUCUAUUGUUAUUUUUAAAAUGGUUGGUGUGGUUCCUUUUAGGUUGAGAAAAAUGGUUUAUACAGGUGUGGAUUCAGGAACUCAAAACUGCAAGUGGAGUUGUAGUGUCCUUCAAUAUAAAACCAAGCAAUAAAUUCUGCACUGACUAUACUAGGUGACUUUUCUCCAAUGGAUUCUGCAUAUUGCCUAGCAAUUAUCAGAUUUCAAUAAAAGAAAAAAAUCCAAAGAAAACAGAUAAGUAAAUAAUUUUUAAAAAUGAAGCCAUUGUGAAGUUCUCUUUGUGAAAUAAUGAUCAGUUCAUCACCAAGGGCCUUCUCUCUGGUUUCUUUCAGAAAUAAACUGAGCAUUUUCUCUCAAACUCAAGAAAAUUAAGGCUGGAGAGUGGAAAGAGAAAGCUGGAGGCAAUGAGUCCUGUAGAAGGAAGAUAAAACACUCGCCAAGUUGACAUGCUUCAAAUGAGGAUGCUGUUUAUGACUAAUGGUCCAAAAGAAAAUAACAGGAAGCAAGCAAAAUCCCAAGCAUUAGAGAACAGACUUUGCAAGAUGCAGCCUGGAGCCCUGUUUUGUUUCUGGUUUUUCAAGGAAUUGUACAAUUAAUAACAACACACACAUGUCUUGUGAUUUAUUCCAAAAUGGUUGUCAUAUUUUUUAAUCUCUGUUGAAAUGUCUGGAUGCAUUUAUAUGGUAUCCUUCAAGAAGUGAAAUAAAAGAUGCCACAAGGCAAGGGGAUGAAGGAAAAAAGAUAUUGAACUAACAAGAAAGUGUGUUUACAGAUCUCAGCAGUCAACAUUAUACAUAAAAAAUAGCUACUACCAAAGAAGAGAACUAGAUAAUUUAGCAUAGCAUGUCCAGAAUUUUCAGACAAGUUGUUAGUUCAGCUUGAUUUUCUAGACACCCACUGUAUAUAUAUUGUCAUGUUGUUUGCUUUAUGUUUUUUUUAAUUUUGCGGAAAUUGCCCCACCCCCCUUUUAAUACAGCUGCAUGCCAAGUCAAGCUGUCCUUUAAGUAUUACACCUGCUGUAUAAUUAUCCCUCCCUGAUAACUUGAUAUUGCUUUGCACCUUGGCCUGGAUCUUUUGACCCAAAUCAGGAUUUUAAUAUUAUUGUGUAUAUUGACUUUUAUGACUGUUUUUAAUCAUGUUGAAGUUUUACUGCUCGGUUUAAUGUUUUAUCUGAUUUGUACUGUCGUGUCUGGGCAUGGCCCCAUGUAAGCCGCCCCGAGUCCCUCCGGGGAGAUGGGGCGGGAUAUAAGAAUAAAAUUAUUAUUAUUAUUA